UACGUAGGGUGCAAGCGUUGUCCGGAAUUAUUGGGCGUAAAGAGCUCGUAGGCGGUCUGUCGCGUCUGCUGUGAAAACUCGGGGCUUAACCCCGGGCCUGCAGUGGGUACGGGCAGACUAGAAUUCGGUAGGGGAGACUGGAAUUCCUGGUGUAGCGGUGAAAUGCGCAGAUAUCAGGAGGAACACCGGUGGCGAAGGCGGGUCUCUGGGCCGAUAUUGACGCUGAGGAGCGAAAGCGUGGGGAGCAAACAGG
rnacentral:rRNA from 1 species